UUUCUAGUGAAUCUUUAUUGUGAUUUUAGUGUAGAUUUGCUUCUGGUUGAAAAUGUUCUAUAUCAAUAUCAACAGCACCCUUAUUUGUCAGUAUUUCAAUGUUUCCUCUAUUAACUAAUGCAAUAUUAUGCAAAACUCAACAAGCUCAUAUUAUUCUUUGAAAAAAUGGUAACUUGCUUCUUAUUACACACGUUAAAAUGGGAAAUCUCUUCAAAAUACCAAAUGUUCUUUCAAUCACAAUUCUUGGUGAAUCUUCUAAUGGUGUCAUUUUAGGUAGUUGAGGACUGGUCCACUAUUCCCUAAUAAUACAUUGUCCAUAAAUUCCCCAUUUUAUACCCAUAAUAUGCAAAAGUAUUUUAACAACUCCUAAAAUAAGUAGUAUUUCUAAUAAUUGCAUUUUCAUAAUUAUAAGAUGAUUAUUAUGGAUUAUGGUAUUUUUUAAAUGACAAAAUUAUUUUAUCUGGGUCUAAGAUCUUAUUACAUGUAAAAAUUUGAUAGGUUAUUCGUAAAUCUUUAUUAGGCAAUCCAAACCACGUGACCUCUGGUUGGCACACAAACUAACCAAGAGGUUAUGUUUGUAUCUAUUUUUCAAUGAUUUUUCAUUGUUUAUCGUCGUAUUUUGUCUAUUUUCAUUUGAUUUGGAUUUCGUUUCCUGUUUUUGUGAACUUUAUAAACUUUACCACAAUGCAAACUGAUUAUUUAAGGAAAUUAUUAUUGGAAACUCCAGAUGUUGCGAGAAAGAUAUUUAUUGAAGCUGAAAAUAAUUGGGGAUUUAGAUCCAUACGGAAUUCAGUCAGAAUUGGAUUUUACAGUAAAGUGCAGUCCAUCAAGUUACUAUUAUAGAUAUUUAUACAGAUCUGGCGGAGUCUCACAGUUGCUACUCUAAGCAGCAGAUGAAAGCAUACAAAAGCCUUCAGGCACAUACAUAUUUUACAUCUGGAUUUGUUUUGAAUGGAGUAAAAAUUGUUAAUGAUUUCCUGAUUUCCAUAUUAUUGUUGGAAAGGUGAAGCAUUUCCAAAAAGCUAAUGCUAAACGACUUAAUGGUUGGGUGGGGUGAUAGCCAGUUCUGAUGACAUAGCAAAUGCACAUUGUAUGCGUAUGGCCGGUAAUAGUGAAGUCUGCAGCAAUCCUAUUUUUAGCUGAGUAUGCCCAGAGCAAGACAGACGAACAAGAACCCAAUGCAUGUACAUAUGUUACAGCUACAUGGUUUGGAGAUAGCAACAUAUGCAUUCUCUGAUGAAAAACUAAUGAGUUUUGAAACUGUUCGGUCAGAGUGCUUGUUGCGCUCACUAAAAGAACUGAAAUAUAAGAUGGCUUUGGCAUUGUGUUGCAGCGAUAUGAAAAUGGUUAUUCAUUUUUAAUUAUAAUGUACUUCUUCAUCAUGAGUAAUUAUGUAUUGGUCUUUUAGAUGUGUAUUUAUUUUUGUAAUUAGUAUCAACUUGUAAUGAUAAUAUACAUUUAUCGUUUAAGGUACGACUAUGUUUUGACUCUAAAAUAAAUGUUUUAAAAAUCGAA